CACUCCUGCGGGAGGCAGCAGUGGGGAAUUUUGGACAAUGGGCGAAAGCCUGAUCCAGCAAUGCCGCGUGUGUGAAGAAGGCCUUCGGGUUGUAAAGCACUUUUGUCCGGAAAGAAAUCCUUGGCUCUAAUACAGUCGGCGGAUGACGGUACCGGAAGAAUAAGCACCGGCUAACUACGUGCCAGCAGCCGCGGUAAUACGUAGGGUGCGAGCGUUAAUCGGAAUUACUGGGCGUAAAGCGUGCGCAGGCGGUUUGCUAAGACCGAUGUGAAAUCCCCGGGCUCAACCUGGGAACUGCAUUGGUGACUGGCAGGCUAGAGUAUGGCAGAGGGGGGUAGAAUUCCACGUGUAGCAGUGAAAUGCGUAGAGAUGUGGAGGAAUACCGAUGGCGAAGGCAGCCCCCUGGGCCAAUACUGACGCUCAUGCACGAAAGCGUGGGGAGCAAACAGGAUUAGAUACCCGUGUAGUCCC
rnacentral:rRNA from 1 species